ACAACACUUCAUUAUUUUUAAACACUUGGAGAUCUCUGUGAUAAAUGACUCUUAAAAGUAGUCAUGAUUGGGAGCAUAGGGCUCUGCUCCAUGAUGUACAGUCCCUUUCCAUAAUGUUGGUGAAGAAGCUGGGCCUUGUGUCUGCAUCUGACUAUUUCUACAUCUUCUCAAAGUCCUUUGGGCAAUGACUGAGGAGAUAAACCAUGCAAGAAACAAUG
rnacentral:snoRNA from 1 species